rnacentral:lncRNA from 1 species
ACAUUUAUGAUUUCGGUAUAAAUCUCGUCAAUAUCAUGAUAUUAGUUGUCCUGGUGUAAUAGUUGUCAAUAAGAUUGGCAUGAUUGAAUGUGUUUGCUAGGAGUAUUUAUUUUAUUUUAUGUUAAACUUUUCACGUGAGUAUUUUUCAUAUAAAGUGUCAGUUUAUUGUAGUGGUUUUAUAAGAUGGCAUAGAUAGAAUGAGUUUGUGCACUUGCUUUCCAUUAUUAUGGUAUGAAAAAACCAGAUAUAUUCUUUCAUGUUUAGUAGUGUAGUUGCCUGAGUUUUCUGUCAAGGGUUUUAUGUUUCUAUCUUCAAAAUUAUUGGUUGAUGGUUCUUACCUAGGAGUUGUGGAUGUUUUAUGUUUCUUGUAAACAUGAUGUUACAAUGCUUAUAGUAGCACGAAGAGUUGUGACCUCCUUGUGACAGUAAUUUUUUUUUCUUUUCUUAUCAAUUUGCUCUUCCCAUUUUCAUCCCUUCCGGCUUUCUGAUGUUUCCAAUGUUUUGAUUGCAGUACAUUCCUGGAACAAAGAUGGUAUUCCCUGGAUUGAAGAAGCCUCAGGAUCGUGCUGACCUUAUUGCAUAUUUGAAACAAUCUACUGCAUAAGAACUUGCCGAUAGUCAGUUUACCUAUUCCAUUUUGCAGUUGUUGAAGAUUGUUUUGCGGUGCGGAUAUAGUACUGUUUUUUACCAAUAAAUUUUAAACAUUUAAGGUUCAGCAAUGUUCUUUGUAACUUGAGCAUUGCUAAUUUGAGAAAAGGUUGCUGUCAUUGGCAAACAUGAUAUUCAAUUGAAUUUCCUGGUUAUAAUCAUAUUUCAUGAAUUUUGGGUGAAUAUUCU